GUGGCAACCUUCACACCAGCUCCUGCUAGAGGGAGGGAGGGGUAGUGGCAACCUUCACACCAGCUCCUGCUAGAGGGAGGGAGGGAGGGGUAGUGGCAACCUUCACACCAGCUCCUGCUAGAGGGAGGGAGGGAGGGGUAGUGGCAACCUUCACACCAGCUCCUGCUAGAGGGAGGGAGGGAGGGGUAGUGGCAACCUUCACACCAGCUCCUGCUAGAGGGAGGGAGGGAGGGGUAGUGGCAACCUUCACACCAGCUCCUGCUAGAGGGAGGGAGGGAGGGGUAGUGGCAACCUUCACACCAGCUCCUGCUAGAGGGAGGGAGGGAGGGGUAGUGGCAACCUUCACACCAGCUCCUGCUAGAGGGAGGGAGGGAGGGGUAGUGGCAACCUUCACACCAGCUCCUGCUAGAGGGAGGGAGGGAGGGGUAGUGGCAACCUUCACACCAGCUCCUGCUAGAGGGAGGGAGGGAGGGGUAGUGGCAACCUUCACACCAGCUCCUGCUAGAGGGAGGGAGGGGUAGUGGCAACCUUCACACCAGCUCCUGCUAGAGGGAGGGAGGGAGGGGUAGUGGCAACCUUCACACCAGCUCCUGCUAGAGGGAGGGAGGGGUAGUGGCAACCUUCACACCAGCUCCUGCUAGAGGGAGGGAGGGGUAGUGGCAACCUUCACACCAGCUCCUGCUAGAGGGAGGGAGGGGUAGUGGCAACCUUCACACCAGCUCCUGCUAGAGGGAGGGAGGGAGGGGUAGUGGCAACCUUCACACCAGCUCCUGCUAGAGGGAGGGAGGGAGGGGUAGUGGCAACCUUCACACCAGCUCCUGCUAGAGGGAGGGAGGGAGGGGUAGUGGCAACCUUCACACCAGCUCCUGCUAGAGGGAGGGAGGGGUAGUGGCAACCUUCACACCAGCUCCUGCUAGAGGGAGGGAGGGGUAGUGGCAACCUUCACACCAGCUCCUGCUAGAGGGAGGGAGGGAGGGGUAGUGGCAACCUUCACACCAGCUCCUGCUAGAGGGAGGGAGGGGGGGUAGUGGCAACCUUCACACCAGCUCCUGCUAGAGGGAGGGAGGGAGGGGUAGUGUAAUGGUGGUGGUAGGAGGAGGAGAACAAGGGAUCACAGGUUCAGGGAGAAGGAGAGGAUGGAGAGGGAUCGCAGGUUCAGUGAGAAGGAUAGGGAUCACAGGUUCAGGGAGAUGGAGAGGGAUCACAGGUUCAGGGAGAUGGAGAGGGAUCACAGGUUCAGGGAGAAGGAGAGGAUGGAGAGGGAUCACAGGUUCAGGGAGAAGGAGAGGGAUCACAGGUUCAGGGAGAAGGAGAGGAUGGAGAGGGAUCACAGGUUCAGGGAGAAGGAGAGGGAUCACAGGUUCAGGGAGAAGGAGAGGAUGGAGAGGGAUCACAGGUUCAGGGAGAGGAUGGAGAGGGAUCACAGGUUCAGGGAGAGGAUGGACAGGGAUCGCAGGUUCAGGGAGAAGGAGAGGAUGAGGAGGAUGACUCACUACGCUGGACAGUAGACUCCUAGUGGUACUGAAGAGGAGGAUUGUGGGGGUGAAUAAGCUCUGAUGCCCAGGGGGAACACAAGACAAUAAACAUGAAUACAGUAACAGAACACUAACACAUUCUACCCCUGAGAAUAACAGGCAGGAUGACUCGCUGUCUAAAGCACUUACAAUCACUUACAAUGACUUACAGGACUUAACAGUAAUACACUGUUGCAAUCUUCAAUAUCAUCAUUACUCUGUGGUACUCUAUGGUAUGCUAUGAUACUGUAAAUACUAUGGGGCUCUUUAAUACACAGAAUUACGCUGUGGUUCUCUUCAAUACUCUAUUACUCUAGUGAAAAGGAGUUUGGUCACAUGAUUACACUGACUGAAUAGUGAUAGGAGCAGCCUCACCAACAUGUACUGUGACUGUUUAACACUGUAGCUGGUUAAUGUCUGCUUUCACUGGGGAACACUGUUUCAUCUGAUCCUACUGCUGUCUUGUCACACUGACCUGAUGCACAGCCAACACUAUUCCAUCCUGUCCUUAAUGGAUAUCUGAUAUGCAAGUGUAGUUUUUAAAACACGGCUGGACCAAAUGCUGCCAGAUAUAUGAGAAUGAUGAACAAAUGUAGAUAGUUUUUCUAAUUCAUGAAAUCAACAAUAUUCUGCUGAACGUGAUGUCAUAGUUAUGGUUGUUUUAGAAACCAUAUCUGACUGUUUGAUUCCUGUUCUGCUGUAUGUUGUACUACUUGACUGUCUGCCACUACAGGUGCAUGUAUGGAGUUUGCUCUGAUACCAAUCCUCUCUCGAUGUUUUCACACACACACUUUACACAUUGUAUUUGUAGCAUCUGUGCACAACUUCUAUGCAGUCCUUACAAUUAAUACUCAGAGAAGCUUGUGAAGAUCUUAAUCACUCUGCCUUAAAAGCUGUUUAAAUGAUUUUGUAAUGCAUGAUUUUCAGUUGUACUUGUUCCGGUGUACUCUGGAUAGAUUUUCUAAAUGAUUUGUUUCUAUUUCAGUGGUUUUGGGGGAGAUCUGAGAGCUUGUAUUUUCAUUCAGUGAUACAGUAGUUACAACUGUAAGUGAAAUUGCUGCAAUGUUCAUAUAUCUUCCAACUGUUCAGUUGACUUGAAAUAUUUUGUAUAGAGUAUGGUACUCUAGUGUUUGUUAUACCCUACACAUACAGUACUUACUGUUUAGUAUAUAUGAAGCACUAGACUACCAUACUGUAUGGCUUUGUUGUAACUAUGAGUACAGAAGGUGGUACAUGAUUACUGAUUAGGUAUUUUUCCACUGAAUUUCUACUUCACAAUACCAAUCUGUUUUCUAUUGAAUUAAAUAUUGCGUGGCAAUCGAAGUCCAA